AUACGGAGGGUGCAAGCGUUAUCCGGAAUUAUUGAGUUUAAAGGGUCCGUAGGCGGCUAGAUAAGUCAGUGGUGAAAUUCUCUCGCUCAACGAGAGACCUGCCAUUGAUACUGUCUUGGCUAGAGUUACAGUGAGGUGAGUGGAAUGUGUAGUGUAGCGGUGAAAUGCAUAGAUAUUACACAGAACACCGAUUGCGAAGGCAGCUCACUAACUGUAUACUGACGCUGAUGGACGAAAGCGUGGGGAGCAAACAGGAUUAGAAACCCUAGUAGUCC
rnacentral:rRNA from 1 species